rnacentral:rRNA from 1 species
UACAUGGGGUGCAAACGUUGCUCGGAAUUAUUGGGCGUAAAGCGCACGUAGGCGGUUCGGUAAGUCGGAUGUGAAAUCCCGGGGCUCAACCCCGGAACUGCCUUUGAUACUGCGAAUCUCGAGUCCGGAAGAGGUGAGUGGAAUUCCUAGUGUAGAGGUGAAAUUCGUAGAUAUUAGGAAGAACACCAGUGGCGAAGGCGGCUCACUGGUCCGGUACUGACGCUGAGGUGCGAAAGCGUGGGGAGCAAGCAGG